rnacentral:rRNA from 1 species
GUCUACCGCCAUGCUACCCUGAACAAACCCAAUCCCAUCUGAUCUCAGAAGCUAAGCAAGGUCAGGCCUGGUUAGUAUUUGAAUAGGAGACUACCUAGGAAGACCAGGUGCUUUAGGUG